rnacentral:rRNA from 1 species
AGAGUUUGAUCCUGGCUCAGGAUAAACGCUGGCGGCGCACAUAAGACAUGCAAGUCGAACGAACUUAAUUGAGAGCUUGCUCUCAAAGCGGUUAGUGGCGGACUGGUGAGUAACACGUAAGCAACCUGCCUAUUAGAGGGGAAUAACAGCGAGAAAUCGUUGCUAAUACCGCAUAUGCUGUGAGUAUCGCAUGAUACAAGCAGGAAAGGAGCAAUCCGCUAAUAGAUGGGCUUGCGUCUGAUUAGUUAGUUGGUGGGGUAACGGCCUACCAAGACGAUGAUCAGUAGCCGGACUGAGAGGUUGAACGGCCACAUUGGGACUGAGAUACGGCCCAGACUCCUACGGGAGGCAGCAGUCGGGAAUAUUGCGCAAUGGAGGAAACUCUGACGCAGUGACGCCGCGUGCAGGAAGAAGGUUUUCGGAUUGUAAACUGCUUUUAACAGGAAAGAAAAAAAUGACGGUACCUGUUGAAUAAGCUCCGGCUAACUACGUGCCAGCAGCCGCGGUAAUACGUAGGGAGCGAGCGUUAUCCGGAUUUAUUGGGUGUAAAGGGUGCGUAGGCGGCUUUAUAAGUCGGUGGUCUAAGUCCGAAGCUUAACUUCGGUUCGCCAUUGAAACUGUAGAGCUUGAGUAUGGAAGAGGUAAGUGGAAUUUCUAGUGUAGCGGUUAAAUGCGUAGAUAUUAGAAGGAACACCAGUGGCGAAAGCGACUUACUGGUCCACUACUGACGCUGAGGCACGAAAGCGUGGGGAGCAAAUAGGAUUAGAUACCCUAGUAGUCCACGCCGUAAACGAUGGAUACUAAGUGUCGGGGCAACUCGGUGCUGAAGUUAACACAUUAAGUAUCCCACCUGAGUAGUACGGUCGCAAGGCUGAAACUCAAAGGAAUUGACGGGCACCCGCACAAGCGGUGGAGCAUGCUGUUUAAUUCGAAGAUACGCGAAAAACCUUACCUAGACUUGACAUCCCGUUGACCGAUGUAGAAAUACGUCUUUUCCCUUCGGGGAACAACGGUGACAGGUGGUGCAUGGUUGUCGUCAGCUCGUGUCGUGAGAUGUUGGGUUAAGUCCCGCAACGAGCGCAACCCUUAUUACUAGUUGCCAGCAUUGAGUUGGGCACUCUAGUGAGACUGCCGGUGACAAACCGGAGGAAGGUGGGGAUGACGUCAAAUCAUCAUGCCCCUUACGUCUAGGGCUACAGGCGUGCUACAAUGGCUGGUAUAAAAAGAUGCAAUAUCGUGAGAUGGAGCAAAUCUCCAAAGCCAGUCCCAGUACGGAUUGAAGUCUGCAACUCGACUUCAUGAAGUUGGAAUCGCUAGUAAUCCUGAAUCAGAAUGUCAGGGUGAAUACGUUCUCGGGUGUUGUACACACCGCCCGUCAUGCCAUGGGAGUCGGUAAUACCCAAAGGUGGUAGCCUAACCAGUUUACUGGAGGGGGCCAAUUAAGGUAGGAUCGGUGACUGGGGUAAAGUCGUAACAAGGUAUCCC